AGUCGAGCGGAACGAGUUAUCUGAACCUUCGGGGAACGAUAACGGCGUCGAGCGGCGGACGGGUGAGUAAUGCCUAGGAAAUUGCCCUGAUGUGGGGGAUAACCAUUGGAAACGAUGGCUAAUACCGCAUGAUGCCUACGGGCCAAAGAGGGGGACCUUCGGGCCUCUCGCGUCAGGAUAUGCCUAGGUGGGAUUAGCUAGUUGGUGAGGUAAGGGCUCACCAAGGCAACGAUCCCUAGCUGGUCUGAGAGGAUGAUCAGCCACACUGGAACUGAGACACGGUCCAGACUCCUACGGGAGGCAGCAGUGGGGAAUAUUGCACAAUGGGCGCAAGCCUGAUGCAGCCAUGCCGCGUGUGUGAAGAAGGCCUUCGGGUUGUAAAGCACUUUCAGUCGUGAGGAAGGCGGCGUCGUUAAUAGCUGCGUUGUUUGACGUUAGCGACAGAAGAAGCACCGGCUAACUCCGUGCCAGCAGCCGCGGUAAUACGGAGGGUGCGAGCGUUAAUCGGAAUUACUGGGCGUAAAGCGCAUGCAGGUGGUUUGUUAAGUCAGAUGUGAAAGCCCGGGGCUCAACCUCGGAAUAGCAUUUGAAACUGGCAGACUAGAGUACUGUAGAGGGGGGUAGAAUUUCAGGUGUAGCGGUGAAAUGCGUAGAGAUCUGAAGGAAAUACCGGUGGCGAAGGCGGCCCCCUGGACAGAUACUGACACUCAGAUGCGAAAGCGUGGGGAGCAAACAGGAUUUAGAUACCCUGGUAGUCCACGCCGUAAACGA
rnacentral:rRNA from 1 species